ensembl:rRNA 5S_rRNA 5S ribosomal RNA
UAACCAGGACAUAGCACCCAGAACAUGCCCGAUCUCGUCUGCUCUCAGAAGCUAAGCAGGGUCGAGCCCGGUUAGUACUUGGAUGGGAGACAUCAACCUUAAAGGAUUUUGCUUAU